ACCGCGAAUGGCUCAUUAAAUCAGUCGAGGUUCCUUAGAUGACACGAUCCUACUUGGAUAACUGUGGCAAUUCUAGAGCUAAUACAUGCUUACCAAGCUCCGACCCUCGUGGAAAGAGCGCUUUUAUUAGUUCAAAACCAAUCGUCGUACACCCUUCGCGGGGUGUGCGGCGUCCCCACUGGUGACUCUGGAUAACUUUGUGCUGAUCGCAUGGCCUCACGUGCCGGCGACGCAUCUUUCAAAUGUCUGCCCUAUCAAAUGUCGAUGGUACGUGACAUGCCUACCAUGUUUGUAACGGGUAACGGGGAAUCAGGGUUCGAUUCCGGAGAGGGAG
rnacentral:rRNA from 1 species